AUACAUGCAAGUCGAGCGGACAGAAGGGAGCUUGCUCCCGGAUGUUAGCGGCGGACGGGUGAGUAACACGUGGGUAACCUGCCUGUAAGACUGGGAUAACUCCGGGAAACCGGAGCUAAUACCGGAUAGUUCCUUGAACCGCAUGGUUCAAGGAUGAAAGACGGUUUCGGCUGUCACUUACAGAUGGACCCGCGGCGCAUUAGCUAGUUGGUGAGGUAACGGCUCACCAAGGCGACGAUGCGUAGCCGACCUGAGAGGGUGAUCGGCCACACUGGGACUGAGACACGGCCCAGACUCCUACGGGAGGCAGCAGUAGGGAAUCUUCCGCAAUGGACGAAAGUCUGACGGAGCAACGCCGCGUGAGUGAUGAAGGUUUUCGGAUCGUAAAGCUCUGUUGUUAGGGAAGAACAAGUGCAAGAGUAACUGCUUGCACCUUGACGGUACCUAACCAGAAAGCCACGGCUAACUACGUGCCAGCAGCCGCGGUAAUACGUAGGUGGCAAGCGUUGUCCGGAAUUAUUGGGCGUAAAGGGCUCGCAGGCGGUUUCUUAAGUCUGAUGUGAAAGCCCCCGGCUCAACCGGGGAGGGUCAUUGGAAACUGGGAAACUUGAGUGCAGAAGAGGAGAGUGGAAUUCCACGUGUAGCGGUGAAAUGCGUAGAGAUGUGGAGGAACACCAGUGGCGAAGGCGACUCUCUGGUCUGUAACUGACGCUGAGGAGCGAAAGCGUGGGGAGCGAACAGGAUUAGAUACCCUGGUAGUCCACGCCGUAAACGAUGAGUGCUAAGUGUUAGGGGGUUUCCGCCCCUUAGUGCUGCAGCUAACGCAUUAAGCACUCCGCCUGGGGAGUACGGUCGCAAGACUGAAACUCAAAGGAAUUGACGGGGGCCCGCACAAGCGGUGGGAGCAUGUGGUUUAAUUCGAAGCAACGCGAAGAACCUUACCAGGUCUUGACAUCCUCUGACAACCCUAGAGAUAGGGCUUUCCCUUCGGGGACAGAGUGACAGUGGUGCAUGGUUGUCGUCAGCUCGUGUCGU
rnacentral:rRNA from 3 species